UACUCGAGUGGCGAACGGGUGAGUAACACGUGGGUGAUCUGCCCUGCACUUCGGGAUAAGCUUGGGAAACUGGUCUAAUACCGGAUAGGAGCCAUCUUUAGUGUGGUGGUUGGAAAGUUUUUUCGGUGUAGGAUGAGCUCGCGGCCUAUCAGCUUGUUGGUGGGGUAAUGGCCUACCAAGGCGGCGACGGGUAGCCGGCCUGAGAGGGUGUACGGCCACAUUGGGACUGAGAUACGGCCCAG
rnacentral:rRNA from 1 species